GAUGAAGAACGUAGUGAAAUGCGAUAAGUAAUGUGAAUUGCAGAAUUCAGUGAAUCAUCGAAUCUUUGAACGCACAUUGCGCCCUCUGUAUUCCGGGGGGCAUGCCUGUUCGAGCGUCAUUAUAACCACUCAAGCUCUCGCUUGGUAUUGGAGUUCGCGAUCUCGCGGCUCCUAAAAUCAGUGGCGGUGCCUGUCGGCUCUACGCGUAGUAAUACUCCUCGCGAUUGAGUCCGGUAGGUUUACUUGCCAGCAACCCCCAAUUUUUACAGGUUGACCUCGGAUCAGGUAGGGAUACCCGCUGAACUUAAGCAUAUCAAUAAGCGGAGGA
rnacentral:misc_RNA from 1 species